GACGAACGCUGGCGGCGUGCUUAACACAUGCAAGUCGAACGGAAAGGCCCUGCUUUUGUGGGGUGCUCGAGUGGCGAACGGGUGAGUAACACGUGAGUAACCUGCCCUUGACUUUGGGAUAACUUCGGGAAACCGGGGCUAAUACCGGAUAGGAGCUCCUGCUGCAUGGUGGGGGUUGGAAAGUUUCGGCGGUUGGGGAUGGACUCGCGGCUUAUCAGCUUGUUGGUGGGGUAGUGGCUUACCAAGGCUUUGACGGGUAGCCGGCCUGAGAGGGUGACCGGCCACAUUGGGACUGAGAUACGGCCCAGACUCCUACGGGAGGCAGCAGUGGGGAAUAUUGCACAAUGGGCGGAAGCCUGAUGCAGCAACGCCGCGUGCGGGAUGACGGCCUUCGGGUUGUAAACCGCUUUCGCCUGUGACGAAGCGUGAGUGACGGUAAUGGGUAAAGAAGCACCGGCUAACUACGUG
rnacentral:rRNA from 1 species